rnacentral:rRNA from 1 species
AGCAGUAGCCACGGUAAUACGUAGGGUGCGAGCGUUAAUCGGAAUUACUGGGCGUAAAGCGUGCGCAGGCGGUUUUGUAAGACAGGCGUGAAAUCCCCGGGCUCAACCUGGGAAUGGCGCUUGUGACUGCAAAGCUAGAGUGCGGCAGAGGGGGAUGGAAUUCCGCGUGUAGCAGUGAAAUGCGUAGAUAUGCGGAGGAACACCGAUGGCGAAGGCAAUCCCCUGGGCCUGCACUGACGUUCAUACACGAAAGCGUGGGGAGCAAACAGGAUUAGAUACCCGAGUAGUCCCUGUCUCUUAUAC